UUUAUUUUGAUGCGUCGCCGAAAGCAGUAAAGAAAUCACCAGAGUCCUCUUCGUCUCUGAAGAUGGAUUAUCACAUAAUUUUUAUUAUUGGUUUCAUUGCAAUGUUGAGAAAGAAGACGGUGUGUUGUGGGAUUCUUCUCGUAUUGAUGAUGGAAUUGCUGGUUAAAGGUACAAGGAGCUGACAAUGUGCAGAUGAACAGACUGUCCGGUUAUAACUAUAGGUUCAUGCACAACGUCUCUUCACAGUGUGUCUGACUCAAGAUUCAGAAGCAAAAGCAGCAACAUACAACCAGGUGGAACAACUCUUCUCACUUCUCAGUAAAGGAUGUGCAGAGAAGUGUAAAUAGUGUGCAGAUGAGUAGUAAAGUAUUGGAAACUGCAUUGUGGGUGUUGGUGAUGGUGGUGCUUUUGAUUCUCCUUGGUUUGCUGUACCUGAUUCUGAUGAUCAAGAAAUCACACAAAGGAGUACAAGAAUUCUGAUCCAGAUUCAUCAACAAACACAGGAAGACGGAUGACCACCACUCGAAUCCAGUGUAUGAAUCCAGGAAGAAGUAUAACAAUUCAUGAUAUUGCAAAGGCAUAUCCAUUAGAAUUUACCUCAAAUAAUAGUAAUAAUAGUAUUUGGCUGUUUAAUCCUGUGUAGGAACUUCUCGGUAGAGCAGGUGGUCUAGGUGUAUUGUAGUAGGGUUUGACAAUGUCGACACAGGUUAAGUAGUGACUAAAGGCAACUCUGAAUGGAAUGGGGAGAAUAUUGUGGAGGGAUGAUCUCAUUUCACAGCUUGACUUGAGAAAGCCUGGUGCUACUAGCAUUCCUUUGCUUUACACUUUUGUAUCUACAUCUGCAUCUACAUCUACAUCCAUACUCUGCAAGCCACCUGAUGGUGUGUGGCGGAGGGUACCUUGAGUACCUCUAUCGGUUCUCCAUUCUAUUCCAGUCUCGUAUUGUUCAUGGAAAGGAGGAUUGUCGGUAUGCCUCUGUGUGGGCUCUAAUCUCUCUGAUUUUAUCCUCAUGGUCUCUUUGCGAGAUAUACGUAGGAGGGAGCAAUAUACUGCUUGACUCUUCGGUGGAGGUAUGUUCUCGAAACUUUGACAAAAGCCCGUACCGAGUUACUGAGCGUCUCUCCUGCAGAGUCUUCCACUGGAGUUUAUCUAUCAUCUCUGUAACGCUUUCGCGAUUACCAAAUGAUCCUGUAACGAAGCGCGCUGCUCUCCGUUGGAUCUUCUCUAUAUCUUCUAUCAACCCUAUCUGGUACGGAUCCCACACUGCUGAGCAGUAUUCAAGCAGUGGGCGAACAAGCGUACUGUAACCUACUUCCUUUGUUUCCGGAUUGCAUUUCCUUAGGAUUCUUCCAAUGAAUCUCAGUCUGGCAUCUGCUUUAUCGACGAUCAACAUUAAAUGAUCAUUCCAUUUUAAAUCACCCCUAAUGCGUACUCCCAGAUAAUUUAUGGUAUUAACUGCUUCCAGUUGCUGACCUGCUAUUUUGUAACUUCCGCAUCGCAUCUGCCCACCCCUGAGUGGCCAUCACCUCGAACGGACAGGUCUUAAUGAAUGCCAGUGCAGCGCGCUUGAGGUCACUGCAGGAGUGGCGGACUGCGAGUACAGCUGUGGCUGCCGCGGUCUCGACAGUCAGCUGAGCGGCCACCUGCCUCUCACACGCCGCUUUCAGCCCCGACACCCCGUACUUAUCCGCUGCGGCCAGCAGCUGGGGGGCCAUGCCGGGCAGCUGGGGGGCCCGCAGGGUGUACAGGUAGGAGACCAGCUGCCUCAGCACCGGGCCCCCCACAUCGGCAAUGCUCACCACGCCGGUGCUCGUCUCGAGUGUGUCGUGUGCGAACGGGGCUCCUGCCCGCCAGGACGGCCCUGUGUGCCACCAGCCGAGUGUCACCUGCCUUGAGUAUCACGAUGGCGUCAUCCCCGGCGUCCAGGAGUGCACCCAGGUCCACAGUCACUGUCUCCGUCACGUCCUUAACUGGUUCCAUUGCGGACGAUUCUUUGUCAGGUCGCACGCUCCUGUCUUCUCGGCCACUCCCUCAACAGUCAACAGUCAGCAGCUUGGCAAUCAGCUUCAUACGUCGGACCAGAGGGUCAGUUCUUUACAGCAAAUAUGAAAUUCACUUUACAUUGACAGGCAGCUUUUUGCGCUGACUCAGCCACCUACGUGCGACCAGUUUGCACGAAACUGCCGGAGUUGAGGAAUUCUAGGAAGUGGUUUGUGUCUUUGUUGUAGGAUACAAAUUUCGAUUACCUGGGUCCUGCUUCUCCUUGUCUCUGUGAGGGCAGCUACAUGCCCUUACUUCCAACACACGACGCCCGGAGGAGUCGUUGGCCGCGCAGCAGCAGGUGUCUGGUGAGUUGCGCUGGCAGAGGUGGUGGCAGCGCCGGAGGUGGUAGUGGUUCUGGUUGCGGUACUCAGCUCUGUAACGACUGGUGCGCUGCUUUUUGGUGGUGGAUCGUACAGCAACCGGCUCACUUCGAUCAAGUCUUCCGGCUGCUUCCGCAUCACAUCUGCCCACCCCUGAGUGGCCAUCACCUCGAACGGACAGGUCUUAAUGAACGCCAGUGCAGCGCGCUUGAGGUCACUGCAGGAGUGGCGGACUGCGAGUACAGCUGUGGCUGCCGCGGUCUCGACAGUCAGCUGAGCGGCCACCUGCCUCUCACACUCCGCUUUCAGCCCCGACACCCCGUACUUAUCCGCUGCGGCCAGCGCUGGGGGGCCAUGCCGGGCAGCUGGGGGGCCCGCAGGGUGUACAGGUAGGAGACCAGCUGCCUCAGCACCGGGCCCCCCACAUCGGCAAUGCUCACCACGCCGGUGCUCGUUUCGAGUGUGUCGUGUGCGAACAUGGCUGCAAAAACGGGGCUCCUGCCCGCCAGGACGGCCCUGUGUGCCACCAGCCGAGUGUCACCUGCCUUGAGUAUCACGAUGGCGUCAUCCCCGGCGUCCAGGAGUGCACCCAGGUCCACAGUCACUGUCUCCGUCACGUCCUUAACUGGUUCCAUUGCGGACAAUUCUUUGUCAGGUCACACGCUCCUGUCUUCUCGGCCGCUCUGUUCUUACAUACAAAAGUGUAAAGCAAAGGAAUGCUAGUAGCGGUAUAUGCCCAUUCAAUCGUGAUAUUGGUUACCGGAGUUGAAAUACCUUUCUUCGAGCUUUAGGUACAGAACGUAGCAAGCUACGUGAAAUUCACUUUACAUUGACAGGCAGCUUUUUGCGCUGACUCAGCCACCUACGUGCGACCAGUUGUGGUUGUGAGAAACCACAUCCUCUUUUGCUACGUCCCUUUCUCCCCUCUCUCUUCCCUGACGAAGGAACAAGGUUCCAAAAGCUAGGAUUAUUCUUUGAAAUAAAUGCUACUGGGUACACCUUUGCAAUAUCAUGUAUUGUAAGAGUUCUACCUGAAUUCACCACCAUGUAAUUGUCACAGGCUCUGUUAUAAAAAUUUUUCAAUAGAUCAUAUACAGUCCUGUCUAAUGGAUGAAGCUUUUACUUAAUUUGUAGAAUUUUUAAUGUGCCUAUCACUGUGCAUUAUUUUUACCUGUUUUCUGACCUUAUGUAAAAUUUGUGGGUGUAUAUUGUAUUAUAUCUCUUGUAUAAUAUUCACAGAUCAGAAGCAAUAAAGCCUUUAAAUCGUUAUGCAA